AUGGACGCAAGUCUGAUGGAGCAACGCCGGGUGAGUGAAGAAGGGUUUCGGCUCGUAAAGCUCUGUUGGUAGUGAAGAAAGAUAGAGGUAGUAACUGGCCUUUAUUUGACGGUAAUUACUUAGAAAGUCACGGCUAACUACGUGCCAGCAGCCGCGGUAAUACGUAGGUGGCAAGCGUUGUCCGGAUUUAUUGGGCGUAAAGCGAGUGCAGGCGGUUCAAUAAGUCUGAUGUGAAAGCCUUCGGCUCAACCGGAGAAUUGCAUCAGAAACUGUUGAACUUGAGUGCAGAAGAGGAGAGUGGAACUCCAUGUGUAGCGGUGGAAUGCGUAGAUAUAUGGAAGAACACCAGUGGCGAAGGCGGCUCUCUGGUCUGCAACUGACGCUGAGGCUCGAAAGCAUGGGUAGCGAACAGGAUUAGAUACCCUGGUAGUCCAUGCCGUAAACGAUGAGUGCUAAGUGUUGGGAGGUUUCCGCCUCUCAGUGCUGCAGCUAACGCAUUAAGCACUCCGCCUGGGGAGUACGACCGCAAGGUUGAAACUCAAAGGAAUUGACGGGGGCCCGCACAAACGGUGGAGCAUGUGGUUUAAUUCGAAGCAACGCGAAGAACCUUACCAGGUCU
rnacentral:rRNA from 1 species